AGGGAGGAAGGCCAGGUAUUUCCUGAACGUCAUGGAACACGAGGCCCAGCAACCAAAUUAUACACCGGGUAAUUAUAGCUUCCAGCCUCAUGUCAGGAGUCCCCUGCUCAACAGCGUGCUCCUGGUGAUACUGCCACCCGUAACGGGUACUGGCUUUGCUAACAUCCUGACGAGACGUCGGGGAGAGACGGGAAGUGGCAGAGAUGGGAUCUCACUGUGUUGCCCACGCUGGUUUCAAACUCCUAGCCUCAAGCAAUCCUCCUGCCUCAGCCUCCUGAAGCCCUGGGAUUACAAGCAUAAGCCACCGCCCCCGGCCAGAUCACAUGAUUCUUUACAUCUCUGCUGACAGAUUUCAUCACUGGUGCUGAGUGCAGGGAGUCCCGCAGCCACUUACACGUGUUGCAUUGCCGGGCAAUACAGGCCUGUGUGACUUGCUAUUCUAUGGCUGGGCUUCUGCCUGCAGAUGCCUGGUUUCUCCACUGCCAAGGCUCAUGGUCUGACACAUCCAGGAAAUUCAACAGUGAGGAUGCAAUGACAAUGAGUCGUGCAUGAGGGUUCCCGGGCCUCGCUCCCCUGCCCAUCAGAGAAGGCUUGGCAUCUCAGCUGACUCGCCCUCUGCUGCCCUGGGAAGGGGGCCGCCAUGGUCAGAAUGCCUCUCUGCUUACUUGGGCUAUGGCUGGGGAGGAGUUCUUCAGGAAAUCUUGAGGAGAGAGGUGCUGGAGUAUGAGGACAAUAGGUGGAAAGGGAAGGAAAUUUAAGGAAGUAUUUCUGUGGGCCAUGUGUCUCUGUUUCAGCAUUUAAGAACGCAUAUAAGGAACUUCAGUUAUUUUGCAAUGACUCUUGUUGCUGGGUGGUGAUUCUUGACUCCACCAUUGGUUGAGUCUUGACUGCAGGCAUCGCAGCUUCAGGGGGAUUACGGAACACCAGCGCACAGAAGAAGUACACGGUUGGGCAAGAUAGAGGAGGAAAGGACUCUACCUCAUGGCUUGUCCAGAAGAGGGCAGGGCCACCCCUGCAGCCAGGCCUCCCGGGCCCUGGAGGUAGGAGGGGGACGAUGGCCUCUAAGAGCACUCUGAGACCAGGAGCCUGUUCUCUCGGGCCUGAAGGCUUCGCUUCCACUGUUCUACGCUGCCGCCCUGGCCUGGCCACCUCCCCUCCACUGUGUGGCUGGCUUUUCUCUGCCUUCUGCUGCCUGAUGGGAUCUCCCACUCACCUCCACGAGGAUCUGAGAGGAAAGGGUGCUGAGGAGAGGAGCGUGGAGUGGGCAGGCUCUUGAUGCCAAGCCAAGAAUCUGCAUGGCUCAUUUGAAACUUCGCAGUGCCCUUUAUCUCUUGUUCUCUUUUAUGUAUAAGCUCGUCUUUCUCCCAUACAGUUGUAAACCCCAAAGGGUAGGGACUGUAUUCGGUUCCUUAUUUAUAUCCUGUAAGACAGUGACUCUCAAACUCAUCAGAAUCACCUGGGGAGUUUUAAAAACUUGAUUCCUCCAGAAACCAUAAAGACCAAAGAUUUAAAAAUAUCACCAUAUUAAAACAGAAUGAAGCAAAAUCCUUCUGUAAAGCUAAACAAACAAACAAACUCAUGAAUCAGUCAGAAGAAAUUAUAAACAAGGGGAAAACAGUAUUUGGAAUAUAGAUGGAAGACACACUAAUUUCUUUAAUUUGCAACAAAUGUCUAUAAAUAAGAAAUAUACAAACAACUCAAUAAAUGCUGGGCCAGGAAUCUGAACUGGCAGAACAUGGAAAAGAAAUACCAGUGACCAAGAAACAUAUGAAGAGCUGCUCAUCCUUCCUCAGAAAUAAAGAGACGCAAAUCAGAACAAUGCCAGACCACUUUUCAUGAAUCUGAUUAGCAAAAAUUAUAAAGUUUCAUGAUGCCCAUUGCUGAUGAGAGUAUGGAAGCAGAUGCCAGUGAAUGCAAACUUGGUGGAUUUUGGCACCUGUGUGACAAGGUGGGGCGGUGGUUCUCACACCUGCAUGAGCUUCUGAAUCACAUGAUGAACUUUUAAAAACAUAGAUUCUCUGCGCCCCCAUCCCAUACUGCCAUAAGGCACCCGCGUGUAACUAAGGGCACAAUUUGUGAAGUUCGAAAUGGUAAUAGAGACCAGACUAGUAAAUUUCAACUAAAGGAAUUUUGUCAACAUACAUCAACAUUUUUAAAACAUGAGUAACCUUUGACCCAGCAAUUCUACUGAUGGGAGCUGAUUCUGAAAUUUCCCACAGAAGAGUAUCAACGUCGGCAAGAAUGGAUGCCCACAGCAGCAUUAUUUGUAUAGCAAACAACCUCAAUGUCCAUCAAUAGGAACCUGGAUAAAUAAACUGUGGCACACUCUUAGAUCUUUUAAAGAGAUUUAGUAGGAACUCCAUUUGCUGAUAUAGAGCAGUCUCUGAGUUAUGUUGUGCAAUGAAAAAAUCAAGCAGCAGAGCAGUAUAAAUGGUGUAAUCCAUUUUCCACAUAACUUUUAAAAUGACACACCAUAUACUUUGGUAAAUGCACAAAUUCUUUUUCAAUGGAAAAUCUACAAGAAGCUGAUAACAGUGGCAACUUUGAGGGAAGGAUGAGAAGAGAGGUUCUUACCUUUCAUUCAGUACUGCUUGAUUUUCCUACUUCCUACUUUGUGCAUUGAUUAGUUUUAGUGGAGAACUUCAGUAAGUGUCAUCUGAAAGGUGGAGUUAUGGGACAAUUUUGGUUUCUCCUUUAGAGUUUUCUGUAAAGGAUAUUCAAUAAUUGAAGAUUCUCAGGCCAUAUACCAGAUACACCAAGUUUGGGUGGAGAUGCUGGCAUGGGACUCUAGAAAUCAGCUUGUCGUGUGAUUCUGCUCAUCAGUCAGGUUUGAGACUCACUGCAGAAGAUUCUGGAAGAAAAAUGCUCUCUUCUCUAGCUCAGGGGUUAUGAGGAUGAGAGGGUGGGGUGGCUGCAGCCCUUUUGUUUCCAUGAAAGGAGAACCUGAAUGACCUUGUGCAACCUAAGGUCAAAGAAAUGCAUGGCUGGCAAGUAAACCACAGAGAGGAACUUGUCCGCUGGUACAUCAGUAGGCCACAGAAUCAUGCCUUUCCCGAAGAAGGACGUCCUGUGUCUAGACUUUUCAGUUAUGAAGCCAAUACGUCCUCUUUGUUGUUUAAUGCAGCUUGAGUUAGGUCUUUUGUCACAUGCAAUAUUAAGAAUCCUAACUGAUAGACCUCCACUGAGACAAGCUGAGUAUGUCUUUAUCUCUUGCAGACUGAAAUUGCCUAAUUUAUAAAGUAUUUCAUGAUGUUUGCAAGAUAAACCCUUGUCUGCUGCCUUGGGCUACAUCUGAUGAUUGCCUGCAAUAUUUCUGCCUCUAGAAAUGAACUGUCAAACCAAGAAGUAUGUCCUUGGAAUGCAUCCUCCACUUUAGCAAAAGAAUUAUGUGUUUUGUUUGCUCUUCAUCAUGUAACUCUUGAAUAAAUUUGGAUGCAACAGAUUAAGGGCAUAACCAGGAAAUAUUUCUUGUGAUAUAACUGAUAUCUGGGUUUGUUCACUUAAUCAUUCAUUUGACAAACAUGUGAUGAGGGCUCACCAUGAGCCGGAUACCUUGCUAGGCAUUGGGUGGGUAUACAAUGGAGAACAAAGCAGACAUGUUCUCUGCCCUCAUAGAGGUUGUAAGCUAAUGGGAGAGACAGAUAUUAAACCAAUAACCAAUAAUCACACAAACAAGAAAUUUAUGCAUUUAGAUAACUGCAUGAAAUGAAAGUCCUGAGUCCUAUUAGAAAGUGUAACAGGGAUUUCUAACCUCUAUGAAGAGACACAGGAGAGCUUGACUCAACUUGAGAGACUGAAAAGGACCGUGUAGCCAGCGAAGUGCAUGAGGGGCAGUUCUGCAGGAAAAAGGGCUGGAGAGACAGGCAGGGGCAGAACACAGAUGCCUUGCAUCCCUGUUAAGGAUUUUGUAUUUUAUCCCAAGUGAGAUGAACAACACUGAAGGCAGUGACAUGGAGCAGGAGAGUGACAUAAUCUAGAUUCUGUUUUUAAAAUUAUAUCUUUGUCUAUUGUGUAGCAAAUGGAUCAGAGAGGCCAAUAGUAGAAACAGCGAGACCAGUUAGUGGGUGUUGCAGAAAUCCAGGUGAGAGUUUCUGGGGCUGUUUGGAUUCAGGUGAUGGUGUAGAGUGAAGAGAGUGGAAGAAAGUGGACAUAUUCUUUUAGGCAGAAUCUGGAAGGCAAGGGGAAGGAUUGGUUAUGUGUAUGUUGGCAGGCAGGAGGGAGUGAGGAAGCUGUCCAGGAGAACCACUAGCUUACUGACUUGGGCCAUUUGACUGACUGGGGAGGGACAAUGGGACCUGGGAGUUUUUUUUUGUUUGUUUGUUUUGUUUUGUUUUGUUUUGUUUUAGAUGGAGUCUCGCUCUGUCACCCAGGCUGGAGUGCUGCGGUGCGAUCUCGGCUCACUGCAAGCUCCGCCUCCUUGGUUCACGG
rnacentral:lncRNA from 1 species